AUGGCGCCAAUGUCAUUCUCGGUUUUCUGGGUAGCAUUAUCGUUCAUGUUCACGGUUCUGGCUGCAGACUCUGCUUCUCAAGCCAAUGGUUUGAUAGAAUGGAAAUCAUCACUCGACGCUCGAAGCCAACAAAUACUCUCUUCUCAAGCCAAUAAAUUACUUUUUCUUGAUUUGUCAUCCAAUUACCUGUCUGGUGCAAUCCCACAAGAAUUUGGCAGGUUAACAAACGUUAAAAAGGUGCUUCUCCAUAAUAAUCUGUUAACUGGUUCCAUUCCGAUUUCUGUUGCUAAUAUGAGUAAUUUAGGUUACUUCUAUGUGCAAAAGAAUGACUUCUCUGGUUCCAUUCCUCCAGAGAUUGGAAACCUCCCUAACCUCAUUGGCCUUGACUUGUCGUGGAAUAGCCUAACAGGUCCAAUCCCUUCCACCUUUGGGAACCUUACAAAAUGUACAUUAGUACAUUUAUUUUGCAAUUUACUUUCAGGCCCAAUUCCACAUGAAGUUAGCGACAUGAAAUCUUUGAUUAGCUUAAGUCUUGAAAACAAUAGUCUUUCCGGUUCAAUUCCAGCUUCCAUAGGUUCUCUUGGCCAACUUAAACUUUUCCAUGUCAAUACAAAUAAUCUUUCCGGCUGUAUUCCUGAGGAGCUAGGAAAUUUAAAUUCCAUGAAACGAUUACAGCUACAUGAAAAUAAACUUACUGGACCAGUGCCUGCUUCAAUUGGUGAGUUGAAGAAUUUGGAAACUUUGUUCCUUCGUGAUAACCAACUAUUUGGAACCAUUCCUCAAGAGUUGGGAAACUUGGUGAAUUUAACUGCAUUGAUACUCGAUAUGAACUACUUCACUGGUUCAUUGCCUCAAAAUAUCUGCCAAGGUGGAUGACGUCGGAAGUUCACUGCAAGCCACAACCAAUUCAGUGGUCAAAUACCCAAAAGCUUGCGAAAUUGCUCUGCCUUGUUGAGGUUACAAUUGACAGGAAAUAAAUUGAGCGGAAAUCUGUCUGAAGAUUUUGGUGCCUAUCCACGGCUCAAGUUUAUUGAUCUUAGCCAUAAUAAUUUCUUUGGUGAAAUCUCAAGCAACUGGGCAAGUUGUCCGAAGCUAAAUAUGCUCCUUAUUGCGUAUAACAACAUCACUGGCACCAUACCGGCAAUAAUAGGAAACUCAACCCAAUUAGGUGUACUUGACUUGUCUUGGAAUAGAUUGGUUGGGAAAAUUCCUGAGCAGCUUGGGAAGUUGACAUCCCUUUUCAAGCUGCUAUUGAAUGGCAAUCAACUUUCCGGCAUCAUUCCACAAGAAUUAGGAGCUUUAAACAAGCUUCUCUUUUUGGACUUGUCUGCCAACAUGUUUAGUCAGCCAAUGCUGGGAUGUUUGGAUAAUUUAACAGAACUUAUUUACUUGAACUUGAGUUACAAUAAGUUCAAUCAAAAUAUUCCUGAUCAGCUAAUACAGUUGGCACAAUUGUGUCAGCUAGAUUUGAGUCACAACUGUCUUGAAGGGGAAAUUCCAACCAAUAUAGAAAUUUGGCGAAACUUAGUGAUGCUGAACAUCUCCCACAACAACAUCUCUGGUGAAAUUCCUUCUUCUUUUGAAGAUAUGAAGUGGCUAAUGUAUGUUGAUGUCUCAUUCAAUCAAUUGCAAGGCCCUAUUCCCAACAGUGCAGCAUUUCUACUUGCUCCCAUUGAAGCAUUGGAGGGGAAUAAAGGAUUAUAUGGCAAUCAAAUAGGGAUGACAGAGUGCAGCCGUGCCUCCAAGAAACACCAUCAUGUUUUGGCUAGGGGAAUUUAUGUCAUUAUAUUUAUUUUUGGUUCUUUGGGAGUUGUAUCAUUCAUUUUCAUUGUAAUUUACUUGAUGAAUGGAAGAAAAAAAUACUCACAAGAGAUUCACCAACAAGGUGAAGUUCAUGAAGAUGCCCUCUCCAUUCAAUCUUCUGCUGAAGGAAAAAAAUUGUUUGACGAAAUAAUUCAAGUCACGGAGGAUUUUCAUGACAAAUUUCGCAUUGGUAUUGGAGGAGAAGGGAGUGUAUACAAAGUGCAAUUGGAAUCAAUUGGCACUGUAGCUGUUAAGAAACUCCAUGCCUUGCCUGAUGGUAGAGGAUAUGACAGAGAAAGUUUAAAGGAGCUACAAGCAUUGGAGGGAACUGGACAUCGAAACAUUGUAAAGCUUUAUGGUUAUUGCAUACAUAGAAGGGUCUCAUUUUUCAUAUAUGAGUACUUUGAAAAGGGAAGCUUGGCAAAUGUGUUGAGAAAUGAAGACACUGCUAGAGGCCUAAAUUGGUCUAGCCGGUUUAAAGUCAUCAAAGGUGUGGUAGCAGCGCUAUCUUAUAUGCACCAUGAUUGCAAACAACAAUUUAUCCAUCGUGAUAUAAAUAGCAAAAAUAUUCUGCUGGAUGAUGAAUACGAGCCCCAUAUAUCAGAUUUCGGGCUAGCCAGACUUGUGGAUUUUAAUACCCCAUAUGAGACACGAUGUGCAGGCACACCUGGAUACAUUCCGCCUGGUAAUGUAGUUCUUAUUUUCUUGAAGUAACAUAGGGGUUAGAUUAUAACUAAUGUUGGAUUGUUGUCUUUGUCUUUGCAGAAUGUGUUGGAACAAUGAUUUUGACUCCCAAAGUUGAUGUCUAUUGUUUUGGAGUUCUAAUAUUGGAACUCAUCCAUGGCGAGUAUUUAGAUGAUAUGGUUUCAUCAUGUCAGAAGAAGGAAUCAAACUGGUCAUUUGAUUUUUCAAAAAAAAAAGAAAAAGAAAUAUUCAUUUGCUGAUGAAGAUGUGUUGGACCAGCGCCCUUCAGCUCCCACAGAACUAGAAAAGUUGAAGCUCGCAAAUGCCUAUAAAUUGGGAAGACGCUGUGUAAAAAAAGAACCAGAUGGAAGGCCAACAAUGAAAGACAUUUUUAAGAAUAUUAGCCAAGAAUACAACUCUAGUAGGACAUUGUCAGACAAUGCAUCUUCCAGUAGGACAUUAUUGGAUAACUAGUAAGUUGAUGAAUCAAUUUUACUGCAAUUUGUUAUUCUUUUGAUUUUUUGUUUUGUGCUCCAUGGAUAUUCUUUGAAUAUGGUAAGAGGCAGAUGUGUACAUUUUUGUGUUCAAUUAUAGAUAUUUUUCACCUAUUACAUUGAACUCCAAUAGUUGAAGCUCCAUCUGUAAUUAUUUUUGAUUGCCUGUGUCCACUCAAAGAAGGCUACAUUUAUAAAUAUUUGGACUUUGUAUUACCUUAAUCUUUUAUGAGUUUUUAUUGAGCAAUGUAUAUAAGCAUAAAUCACGUCAUACCACAUGUCAAGUGGUGUACCAUACCCCUUUCUUUCUUGUCCUGUGGACAAUGAUAAUCUUCCAAGUAGUAGAGAUUUUUUUCACUUCAAUAAAUGUAAAACAUGGAAGAUGCUGAUGAAUUAGAAGAUCUUUAUGCCUUUUGCCUAAAAAUGCUUUAGAUAUGUCAUGUGUGGUUUCCAGUGGCAGCUGUUGCAAACCAAAGUAUGGAACUUUAUACAAGUUAAAACUUCAAAAUUCUGUAGUUAUUUUAGUUAAUGGUAUGAAUGGUAGUGGUGAUGUUAAAUUUCCAUGAAAUUACUCUAGUUUCAUUUAAAUUACUAAAGUUAUUUGUAUACCUAUGCAUACUUUUGUUAGUUACAUGUCUACCUAUGCAUACUUUUGUUAGUUAUAUGUCUACCUAUGCAUCCUUGUCUUUUUUUCAUUUUUUUUUUUUUUGCCAAAGUGAUUUUUAUUUUCAUUUUUUUGAAUAAUCACUCUUAAUUUUUUCUGUUUAUCAUAUAACUUCUUUUUCAUCUUGGUUGUUGCAGGUAUCUUUUGGCAGAAGCUGGUGACACAUUAUUUGCUUACUUUAUUGGAACAAAGAAGUACAAGUAAGAAUGAUAGGAUUUAUUGAUUUAGUUAUCUCAGUCUCUAUAAUUUUAUAAGUAUGAAUUUUAUUUUGUGCAAAUCAAGGGAUGUCGUGGCUGAUGCAAACAUGCUGCGAGGUGCUAUAUUUCAUGAGGAUAUUAUGGAAGUUGCCGAGGAGAUUGAAACUGUUAAGUCUGAACAACAUGAAAGUCGAAAAGGAAAUUUGGAAAACUUGUGGAAUCCCCUUGAAUCAAAAUCUAAGCAACUAAAAGAUAAAUCUAAACCUGCUACCCACCGAGUAAGAUAGCAGUUAUUGUUUUCAUGGUUUUGUUGAUUGUGUUUCAUCAACAUAUGUCAACUAUGUUAGCGCGUUACACUUUUUUUUCCCGAGUUUUCUAAGCAUAACUAAUUCCCUAUAUGCCAAUGUAUUGGUUGGUUAUUCCUAGAUUCUACAGAUGCUCUUAGUUUGUAUAAUUGUCUGUGUAUUUUUCUAAUUUUUUUUUUUUUUUCUCUUUCCAAUUUUUUCAGGGCUUUUUGGCCCGUGCCAAAGGGAUACCUGCUUUGGAUUACAGACUUGCUCAGAAGAAGAAGCGAAAGCUUGUGUUAUGUGGACAUUCUCCCAGUCCCCAGUUGGAAAUGCUGCUUUAAAAGAGUAGGCAUCUUCUUAGUAAUUAUAUUAUUUCUGAAUAUUUGAGUUCCUGAUAUUAUUCUUUUUUAUUUAUUUAAUUAUUAGUUUAAGAUAACACAUCCAUAUUAUUUAAUUUUAUUUUAUUUUUUCUUUCAGCUGUUUUAAUAGAAAAGGAUGGCAUCACUAUUUCAAGAGUUAUUGUAUUCCAGAAGAUCUGGUGCCUCGUAUCUUGUCUCCUGCGUAUUUUCAUCAUUAUAAUGGACAGGCUCAAUCGAUGCCUUCUGAUGCUGAAUCUACUAAUAUAUCUAUGUUAAAACGUGAGGAAGGGAUAGAUAAGCUAAAAGAGGAUGAUGGGAAGCAGUUGGUUUUGGGAUUGGGUCCUGUACAGAGUUCAUUUUGGAGGCUUUCAAGGCUUGUUCCUUUUGAGGGUGUAAUGAGACAGUUGAAUAAAUAA
rnacentral:sRNA from 1 species